AUCCUAGUGCAAGGGUCUUACACGAAUCGAUGAGGAUUAUCCGAGAUCGUGUUUGCUAGUCAAACCCAUUGACCACUUCAAGUGAGCUUAAUCGCUUGGGAAUUUUUGAAGCUACCUCUCUCGAGUUGAACUUUCUUUUCACUACUUGCUACUCAUGCUGGUG
rnacentral:snRNA from 1 species